GUAAUUUUAAGAACUACUUUUGUAUAAAAGGGUUAGUCCCGUUGAUUGAAUAAAAAAAUUGCAGAGGAAUCAUAUUCUAACGUUGCUGACCAAAGUGGCGAUGAAAACAAUGACGCCAAAACAAGUUGUAAAAUUGAUCAAAACUCAUUGCCUUCUACGUCAACAGCGGAUUUAAAACAUUCGCAAAGAAAACAAAAAGCAAGUAAAUUUCAAGAUGACAAUAACACUGAUAGCGACAAUGGUAACAAACUAGACAAGGGUGAUUCAGAGCUUCUGCAUAAAAAUAAAAGAAUAAGAACUACUCUGCAACAUUCUCAAUCAAGUAAUGAAUUUAGUCAUUUAUUAUUCUACACUGAUGGCGAAGGAUUCUCUCUCUGGCUUUCGUCGUGAGCAGACGUGUCUGUUUCUCGUUCGUUAAUUUUGAACUUGCUUGUGCUGUUUGUGCCGGUAGUGCUGUUUUGUACAUUUAAACUAAGAUCUUUCUUUGUUUCUUUACCGGAUAAUCGAACCGAGUGUUGGUGCUCCGUUUCUCAAGUGGCAUUUUGCAUUUUGUUGCAUCUGAGUGGUUUCAUAAGGCAUAUGUGAUAAGGUGACUAUGUAACUGUUUUUUUUCUUAUCGCAAGUAUGGAUAAAUUACAGGAUGCCAUCGGUGUUUUAACAAGUGCUAUUGAUAAUCUCACUAAGUCUCACAAUGACCUGAAAAGGGAG